rnacentral:tRNA from 1 species
CCCAGGCGUGGCGGGCGCCCAGCCGGCUCUCAUAAGGCUGGCCCUCCCGGAUCGUCACCGGGGCCUGGGAC